rnacentral:rRNA from 1 species
AAGAGUUGCGUAGGUGGCAUUGUAAGUUGGUAGUGAAAGCGUGGGGCUCAACCCCAUAUCCAUUAUCAAAACUGCAAAGCUAGAGGAUGAGAGAGGUUAUUGGAAUUCCCAGUGUAGGAGUGAAAUCCGUAGAUAUUGGGAGGAACACCGAUGGCGUAGGCAGAUAACUGGCUCAUUCCUGACACUAAGGCACGAAAGCGUGGGUAGCAAACGGGAUUAGAUACCCGAGU